UGGGGAAUAUUGCACAAUGGGCGCAAGCCUGAUGCAGCCAUGCCGCGUGUAUGAAGAAGGCCUUCGGGUUGUAAAGUACUUUCAGCGGGGAGGAAGGGAGUAAAGUUAAUACCUUUGCUCAUUGACGUUACCCGCAGAAGAAGCACAGGCUAACUCCGUUCCAGCAGCCGCGGUAAUACGGAGGGUGCAAGCGUUAAUCGGAAUUACUGGGCGUAAAGCGCACGCAGGCGGUUUGUUAAGUCAGAUGUGAAAUCCCCGGGCUCAACCUGGGAACUGCAUCUGAUACUGGCAAGCUUGAGUCUCGUAGAGGGGGGUAGAAUUCCAGGUGUAGCGGUGAAAUGCGUAGAGAUCUGGAGGAAUACCGGUGGCGAAGGCGGCCCCCUGGACGAAGACUGACGCUCAGGUGCGAAAGCGUGGGGAGCAAACA
rnacentral:rRNA from 1 species